CGGGGAGUGAACGCAGUGAACGGACACCAUUGCUUCGGGAGCAAGGGGUCGGAGGUUCAAAUCCUCUCGCCCCGACCA
rnacentral:tRNA from 1 species